GCUUGGAGACAGGUGCUGCAUGGCUGUCGUCAGCUCGUGUCGUGAGAUGUUGGGUUAAGUCCCGCAACGAGCGCAACCCUUGUCUUUAGUUGCCAUCAUUUAGUUGGGCACUCUAAAGAGACUGCCGGUGUCAAACCGGAGGAAGGUGGGGAUGACGUCAAGUCCUCAUGGCCUUUAUGACCAGGGCUACACACGUACUACAAUGGCCGGUACAAAGGGCAGCCACUUAGCGAUAAGGAGCCAAUCCCGUAAAGCCGGUCUCAGUCCGGAUUGGAGUCUGCAACUCGACUCCAUGAAGUUGGAAUCGCUAGUAAUCGCAGAUCAGCACGCUGCGGUGAAUACGUUCCCGGGCCUU
rnacentral:rRNA from 1 species